rnacentral:lncRNA from 1 species
UUUUGACGUAAUUUCUCUUGAUGUAGCUAGCAGGUGGCGGAGGUGUAUUUGAAAGUCGGCAGCACCCUGACAGCGAUUAGAAUGUCCUCCGUCUGCUAGUCUUCUUGAUUCUUAAAUUCUGUGGAGCUCAAAUAGACAACAAAGCUUUGUGGAACUGAUUAAGUGUUAGCAUAAAUAUCUAGCCUUUAUCAUGUUGAGCCUCCUCAAUAAAUAUUACUCUCUAUUUUUAUAUUUUCGUUUUAUAAAGCAGAAAAGAAAUAUUUAUUUUAUUUUUAUGCCACCACAGUGAAUGUACUUAUGGGUUUUAUGCCACUCGUAUACUCACAUGGGGCUUACUGUUUUUUAACAUUUUUAUUUUCUUUUUAGGAUAGUAUAAACCUGAUUAACUAAGCAAACUAGUUGAAAUAAUUGAAAGGAAAAAGAUAACUACCAAGUUUACCUCUUGGCAAGGCGUUCGGUGUUUUUAAGUCCUCCGAACGGGACUUCUCCGUUUUCUAGUUGUCGUGGGAUUCGUUGGGUGGCGUAGUCGGUGCUUCCGGCGGCGCCUCUUCUUCAUGUAUAAUUAUCUUCUCUCUCCACACCUGACUCGGUGCUACGGUCUCCUCUGGAUAAUUUUGUUUAAACUGAAUGUCUUCUGACCUUAUCACUUCUCCUUCAUAGUCUGCCCAUCCAUCCUUGAUAAUUUUCCUCGUCUGGUUGCGGUUGCGUCGUUUUCUUCUUGUCCUGACCUGCUUAGAGUCUUCAACGAUAUAGUUAGGGUCACUAAAAUAGCGGCGUACCUUCUGUUGACGGUCUUUAAGUACCAAAUAUAAUCAUCAAAUAAAUAAAGAAAAGGAUCCAAAUGCAACCAACACCCAGACUUAGGGUUUUAUCUGACAGAAUUCCACGAGUUUUGGUGUUUGUCUAUUUCUGCAGGGGGUUAUCAGGAAAUAAGGAAGAAAGGCCCACAUGUCGGGAUUAUAUAGAGAUAUCAACGCACCGCGCAAUUUUCUACCAUCUAGAAGACUCCAGAAGCCACGGGAAGAAAGCAGAGGC